rnacentral:misc_RNA from 1 species
AAAAAAAAAAAAACAGAGGAUAACUGAUCAGAGGAUUUGUGCUCCACCCUGGUACAAGAUUUCCAAUUCUAACACAGUUUGCACAUUUAUGAGCUGAUCAAGGAGAAUGACAAAUUUUAAUCAAAGGAUAGCUACAUAAAUAGCUCUUGAUAUCAUGAAUGACAACAAUCUUCAUUGUUAUCACCCACAGCUGCCACAUUUAGCUUUCUCUUUCACUCCAAAUUAAAGGUAGCUCUCCUACAGAUCCAACAGAAAGCAACUAUACAACAAUCAUUCAUGACUGCCACUCUCUUCUCUCUCUUCCUCCUCUCCUUCCUCCUCCACCCGCUUCCCUCCACAGCCAACAUUCAUAAGGCCAACAGCCUCCUCAAAUCAAACCUCCUUACUGAACCCUCCUCCACUCUUCCUUCCAAACCCCACAAUGAGAACCCACCAACUGUUUUCUUUGAAGUAACUAAACCUAUCAAUGUUCCCAAGGUUAAAUCUUGUGCUUACACUGUUCUCCAGCAUGAUUUUGGCUCUACCUAUGGCAAAUCUCCAGUUCUUGUAAACUACACCCCUCCCUCUCAUUGCCCAUCUCAUCACUUCUCCAAAAUUGUCCUUGAAUGGAAUGCAACUUCUAAAGGAAGGCAAUUUGAUCGCAUUUUUGGGGUUUGGUUAGGCGGUGUAGAGCUUCUCAGAAGCUGCACUGCGGAGCCAAGAGCAACUGGAAUUUUGUGGUCUGUGCAGAAGGACAUAACAAGGUACUAUUCGUUGCUUGUUAAGAAUGAGACUCAAGAACUUGCUGUUUAUAUUGGUAAUAUUGUUGAUAAUACCUAUACUGGGGUUUACCAUGUGAAUAUAACUCUUCAUUUUUAUCCUGCUGAAGAGAGAGUGAGAUAUAAUGGGGAUGGCUUAAAUAAUAUGAAAGGUGCACAUGUUUCUAAGCCUGAUUUGAUCUUACCCUUUUCGAGAAAUCUGCCAUUAAAUGAUGGGUUGUGGUUUGAAAUUGAGAAUUCGACUGCUACGCAAUCUAAGGAAUUUGAGAUUCCUCAAAAUGUGUACAGGGCUGUACUAGAGGUUUAUGUUUCUUUUCAUGAGAAUGAUGAAUUUUGGUAUUCAAAUUAUCCCAACGAGUAUAUCAUUGCGAAUAAUCUUACCGGUAGCCCUGGAAAUGGUCCUUUUAGGGAGGUUGUGGUUAGUCUUGAUGCAGCGGUUGUUGGUGCAGUUUGGCCUUUUACUGUUAUUUAUACAGGUGGGAUCAAUCCUCUCCUGUGGAGACCCAUUACUGGCAUUGGUUCAUUCAAUCUCCCGUCUUAUGAUAUUGAAAUUACUCCAUUCUUAGGGACUAUAUUGGAUGGAAAGACCCAUGAGUUUGGUUUCAGUGUCACCAAUGCUUUGAAUGUUUGGUACAUUGAUGCAAAUUUGCAUCUUUGGUUGGACCAUAAGAGCACAAAAACUGAAGGGAAGGUCUUGACACAUGAGAGUAAGCCUCUUGUUUUUUCUUUGGUGUCCAAUUUCAAGGAUUUGAAUGGAACAUUCUUGUCAACAGCACGAAGGUCUAUAUCCUCAAAUGGAUGGGUAAAGUCCUCCUUUGGGAAGAUAACUACUGGUUUUAAUCAACACUUCAGUUACAGCAACUCAAUGGAGAUGGGUGAGGAUGGGAAUUUGCAGAUUGUGAAUCAGACAAUUAGUUUUAAUGACAGUGUUUCUAUCAGAAAACUUACCUCUUCUGUUCAUUCAUUUAGGUCAGUAAAAGACUUCAGUUUGGACAUGUACUCUAACUUUUUUGAUCAAGGAAAUGGCACUUCCUUUUAUGUAACAAACCUCACACUGGGAUUCAAUGAGAAGAAAUCAAAAGAUGCUGAUUUUGGAUUUGGGACCAGCUCUCUUAAAAAUCUACAGAGUGCGCAAGGUGUGAUGGUUGUAAAGAACAACUUGGUGGUCAGUGGAGUGGGAAGUACACAGCAGGCCUACAAAUAUGAUGGUAGUGGUGAUAAUUUUUGCUACUUCAGGGAUAUAAGCAGCUCAAACUACACCAUUAUUGCUGACAAAGUGAUAAACAAAUGUAAUAAAAAGAAACAGUCUCACAUCGGUUUUGGGUUUAGUAGUUGGUGGCCAUUUCCCACUCGAAGGGCUUCUCUAGCAUCUGAGUUUGUGGAUAACAAUGGAGUUUAACGAUUUGGCUCCAUUCUUUCUUAAUUACUUCAUGCAGGAAUUUGUCUCUUUAGAUGCUUCGGAGGUUUCUGAUUGAUGGGUAAUCUGCAAACCAAAUAAAAUUGCAAGUAUGUAGUAGUCUUUGUAGGCAACUUUGUGUAUAUACUUGUAUCUUUUCUCUCAAUAAUCUGCUUCUAAAUGGACGGGAUUUAUAUUUAAUGUGGAUGGGGCAGAAAGUUCAUUGUUUUAGCAUACAUUUUCCCCAAACAUAAGGAAUUUAUAAUAGGUUUUGGCCUAAAGCUGAACUUUACAAAUAAUUUUACUCACUAAUUAGUAUUUCACUUUUAUGAGAAUUUAAUUUGAUCAAGUUACAAGGGCAAUGCUAUAGCUAACUAGCUUUCUUUGUCAUGUUCAAAGAUGAAUGGAAGUAGGAGAUGCUUAUGUUGUAAUCCUUGUAUUUUUGGUAUUAUUCAAAAGCAAUAGCUGUCCAAGUUGAAGCUUUUGGGCCUCUUGGAUCAGGUUAUGACAAUGGAAUUUGGAUAGUUCUUCAAGUGACCUUCAGAGCAUGAACUUUAU